rnacentral:rRNA from 1 species
CAUGCAAGUCGAGCGAACUGACGAGGAGCUUGCUCCUUUGACGUUAGCGGCGGACGGGUGAGUAACACGUGGGUAACCUACCUAUAAGACUGGAAUAACUCCGGGAAACCGGGGCUAAUGCCGGAUAACAUGUUGAACCGCAUGGUUCAACAGUGAAAGACGGUCUUGCUGUCACUUAUAGAUGGACCCGCGCCGUAUUAGCUAGUUGGUAAGGUAACGGCUUACCAAGGCGACGAUACGUAGCCGACCUGAGAGGGUGAUCGGCCACACUGGAACUGAGACACGGUCCAGACUCCUACGGGAGGCAGCAGUAGGGAAUCUUCCGCAAUGGGCGAAAGCCUGACGGAGCAACGCCGCGUGAGUGAUGAAGGUCUUCGGAUCGUAAAGCUCUGUUGUUAGGGAAGAACAUAUGUGUAAGUAACUGUGCACAUCUUGACGGUACCUAACCAGAAAGCCACGGCUAACUACGUGCCAGCAGCCGCGGUAAUACGUAGGUGGCAAGCGUUAUCCGGAAUUAUUGGGCGUAAAGCGCGCGUAGGCGGUUUUUUAAGUCUGAUGUGAAAGCCCACGGCUCAACCGUGGAGGGUCAUUGGAAACUGGAAAACUUGAGUGCAGAAGAGGAAAGUGGAAUUCCAUGUGUAGCGGUGAAAUGCGCAGAGAUAUGGAGGAACACCAGUGGCGAAGGCGGCUUUCUGGUCUGUAACUGACGCUGAGGUGCGAAAGCGUGGGGAUCAAACAGGAUUAGAUACCCUGGUAGUCCACGCCGUAAACGAUGAGUGCUAAGUGUUAGGGGGUUUCCGCCCCUUAGUGCUGCAGCUAACGCAUUAAGCACUCCGCCUGGGGAGUACGGUCGCAAGACUGAAACUCAAAGGAAUUGACGGGGACCCGCACAAGCGGUGGAGCAUGUGGUUUAAUUCGAAGCAACGCGAAGAACCUUACCAAAUCUUGACAUCUUUUGACCGCUCUAGAGAUAGAGUUUUCCUCUUCGGAGGACAAAAUGACAGGUGGUGCAUGGUUGUCGUCAGCUCGUGUCGUGAGAUGUUGGGUUAAGUCCCGCAACGAGCGCAACCCUUAAGCUUAGUUGCCAUCAUUAAGUUGGGCACUCUAAGUUGACUGCCGGUGACAAACCGGAGGAAGGUGGGGAUGACGUCAAAUCAUCAUGCCCCUUAUGAUUUGGGCUACACACGUGCUACAAUGGACAAUACAAAGGGCAGCGAAACYGCGAGGUCAAGCAAAUCCCAUAAAGUUGUUCUCAGUUCGGAUUGUAGUCUGCAACUCGACUAYAUGAAGCUGGAAUCGCUAGUAAUCGUAGAUCAGCAUGCUACGGUGAAUACGUUCCCGGGUCUUGUACACACCGCCCGUCACACCACGAGAGUUUGUAACACCCGAAGCCGGUGGAGUAACC